rnacentral:rRNA from 1 species
GACGUAGGGCGCGAGCGUUGUCCGGAAUUAUUGGGCGUAAAGAGCUCGUAGGCGGCUUGUCGCGUCUGCUGUGAAAACCCGAGGCUCAACCUCGGGCCUGCAGUGGGUACGGGCAGACUAGAGUGCGGUAGGGGAGAUUGGAAUUCCUGGUGUAGCGGUGGAAUGCGCAGAUAUCAGGAGGAACACCGAUGGCGAAGGCAGAUCUCUGGGCCGUAACUGACGCUGAGGAGCGAAAGCAUGGGGAGCGAACAGG